AUAACUUGGUUGGUCACGCGUAUUCUUGGGGAAUUAACACACCAAAAGAGAUGUUAUUGCUUGAGAAUACACGUAGCUGACAAGUUU
rnacentral:pre_miRNA from 1 species